rnacentral:rRNA from 1 species
GGAAUAUUGGUCAAUGGCCGGAAGGCUGAACCAGCCAAGUCGCGUGAGGGAAUAAGGCCCUACGGGUCGUAAACCUCUUUUGUCGGGGAGCAAAUUCCGCCACGUGUGGCGGAGUCGAGAGUACCCGAAGAAAAAGCAUCGGCUAACUCCGUGCCAGCAGCCGCGGUAAUACGGAGGAUGCGAGCGUUAUCCGGAUUUAGUGGGUUUAAAGGGUGAGUAGGCGGACUGUCAAGUCAGCGGUAAAACACGGGGGCUCACCCUCAGCCCGCCGUUGAAACUGACGGUCUUGAGUGGGCGAGAAGUAUGCGGAAUGCGUGGUGUAGCGGUGAAAUGCAUAGAUAUCACGCAGAACUCCGAUUGCGAAAGCAGCAUACCGGCGCCCGACUGACGCUGAAGAACGAAAGCGUGGGUAUCGAA